CCCACAGUCCAUAGGUAAGCCUGGGCAGUGCAACUCUCUAGUCUAAUACACCCACAGUCCAUAGGUAAGCCUGGGCAGUGCAACUCUCUAGUCUAAUACACCCACAGUCCAUAGGUAAGCCUGGGUAGUGAAACUCUCUAGUCUAAUACACCCACAGUCCAUAGGUAAGCCUGGGUAGUGCAACUCUCUAGUCUAAUACACCCACAGUCCAUAGGUAAGCCUGGGUAGUGCAACUCUCUAGUCUAAU